rnacentral:tRNA from 1 species
AUCCCAGUAGCUCAGUAGUAGAGCGGUCAGCUAUUCCUGAUUCGUCGUAGGUUCAAAUCCUACCUGGGAUC